rnacentral:tRNA from 1 species
GCGCCCGUAGCUCAGCGGAUAGAGCACCGGACUUCUAAUCCGGGUUGUCGGAGGUUCGAAUCCUCCCGGGCGCACCA